rnacentral:rRNA from 1 species
AGCAGCCGCGGUAAUUCCAGCUCCAAUAGCGUAUAUUAAAGUUGUUGCAGUUAAAAAGCUCGUAGUUGAAUUUCGGGGUUAGCAGGUCGGUCGUGCCAUCGGUAUGAACUGGUCUCGCUGAUCCCUCCCUCUUGACGAACUGUGAUGCCAUUAAUUUGGUGUCGCAGGGAAUCAGGACUGUUACUUUGAAAAAAUUAGAGUGUUUAAAGCAGGCUCACGCUUGAAUACAUUAGCAUGGAAUAAUGAAAUAGGACGUUUGAUCCUAUUUUGUUGGCUUCUAGGAUUGACGUAAUGAUUAAUAGGGAUAGUUGGGGGCAUUAGUAUUCAAUUGUCAGAGGUGAAAUUCUUGGAUUUAUUGAAGACUAACUACUGCGAAAGCAUUUGCCAAGGAUGUUUUCAUUAAUCAAGAACGAAAGUUAGGGGAUCGAAGACGAUCAGAUACCGUCGUAGUCUUAACCAUAAACUAUGCCGACUAGGGAUCGGAUGAUGUUAAUUUUUAUGA